rnacentral:rRNA from 1 species
AUACGGAGGGUGCAAGCGUUACUCGGAAUCACUGGGCGUAAAGCGCGCGCAGGCGGCUAUUUAAGUUGGAUGUGAAAGCCUACGGCUCAACCGUAGAACUGCAUCCAAAACUAUUUAGCUGGAGUGUGGGAGAGGAAGAUGGAAUUAGUUGUGUAGGGGUAAAAUCCGUAGAGAUAACUAGGAAUACCAAAAGCGAAGGCAAUCUUCUGGAACACUACUGACGCUGAGGCGCGAAAGCGUGGGGAGCAAACGGGAUUAGAAACCCCAGUAGUCC